GAUGAACGCUGGCGGCGUGCCUAAUACAUGCAAGUCGAGCGAACGGACGAGAAGCUUGCUUCUCUGAUGUUAGCGGCGGACGGGUGAGUAACACGUGGAUAACCUACCUAUAAGACUGGGAUAACUUCGGGAAACCGGAGCUAAUACCGGAUAAUAUUUUGAACCGCAUGGUUCAAAGGUGAAAGACGGUCUUGCUGUCACUUAUAGAUGGAUCCGCGCUGCAUUAGCUAGUUGGUAAGGUAACGGCUUACCAAGGCAACGAUGCAUAGCCGACCUGAGAGGGUGAUCGGCCACACUGGAACUGAGACACGGUCCAGACUCCUACGGGAGGCAGCAGUAGGGAAUCUUCCGCGAUGGGCGAAAGCCUGACGGAGCAACGCCGCGUGAGUGAUGAAGGUCUUCGGAUCGUAAAACUCUGUUAUUAGGGAAGAACAUAUGUGUAAGUAACUGUGCACAUCUUGACGGUACCUAAUCAGAAAGCCACGGCUAACUACGUG
rnacentral:rRNA from 1 species